rnacentral:rRNA from 1 species
UCCUACGGGACGCAGCAGUGAGGAAUAUUGGUCAAUGGUCGGGAGACUGAACCAGCCAAGCCGCGUGAGGGAUGAAGGUACAGAGUAUCGUAAACCUCUUGUGUCAGGGAACAAAGGCGGGGACGUGUCCCCGGAUGAGUGUACCUGAAGAAAAAGCAUCGGCUAACUCCGUGCCAGCAGCCGCGGUAAUACGGAGGAUGCGAGCGUUAUCCGGAUUCAUUGGGUUUAAAGGGUGCGCAGGCGGUCUGUUAAGUCAGCGGUCAAAGCCCGGGGCUCAACCCCGGCCCGCCGGUGAAACUGGCAGG